rnacentral:sRNA from 1 species
AGCUUCUACUUCAUUCUACGGCCGAGACCGGAGGAUGUUCCCUGCUCAGGAGGAGGCCGACAGGACCGUAUUUGUGGGGAAUUUAGAGGCCCGAGUUCGGGAAGAGAUUCUGUACGAGCUGUUCCUUCAGGGAGUUCUCGCUCUUCUGAACCAGCUAACCAAAGUUUUGAGAGCUAUCUUAAGAUAAAUUCACACAACUACAGGAAUGAAGAAAUGGUGGUGGGCAGAUCUUCCUUUCCCAUGCAGUAUUUUCCAAUUAAUAAUACUUCUUUACCUCAAGAAUAUUUUCUCUUUCAGAAGAUGCAGUGGCAUGUGUAUAAUCCAGUGCUGCAGCUUCCUUACUAUGAAAUGACAGCUCCACUUCCUAAUAGUGCAUCUGUGUCUUCCUCACUGAAUCAUGUUCCAGAUCUUGAGGCUGGACCCAGCUCAUAUAAAUGGACUCACCAACAACCAAGUGACUCUGACCUUUAUCAGAUGAAUAAACGAAAGAGACAAAAGCAAACAAGUGAUAGUGAUAGUAGCACAGACAACAACAGAGGCAACGAAUGUAGCCAAAAGUUCCGAAAGUCUAAGAAGAAGAAAAGAUACUAGUAUUACCUACAAAUGAAACUUACCUACACUGAUCUUAGUUCUCUUAUGAAAAAAAUAAGAUGUUAUUCCAUCAAAUAACCAAUGUCAUGGCUAUCUUGUCUUUUGAAAUAUAUAGUAAUAAGACUUAUCUCUGGUUUGCUGUUCAAUUUUUGCCUUGAACGACAAAAGCUUUCUAAAAAUAAUAUAAUGUACCACUUUUUGUAUUUGUCAUGAUAUUUUUGACCCAUUGGCAAUAAAUAGACUAUUGUCAUUUUAUUAGUACCAAUGAUGAAAUUUCACCAAACUAUUAAUCAAAAGUCACUUAUUGAACACAUUGAUAAAGCAUCAUGUUCCCUUUGAUUAUCCCGUGUAACCAACACUCACCUACAAAUAGGCUGGGAUUAAAUGUGGAGUGGUGGAUUUCCUGAAAGAAAGUAGUGCAGAUAUUUAAGGAUUGCAUAUUGUUCCUAAUGAGGAUGUAAUAAACAGGCAUUAGUACCCCUUUCUUGUAGUACCUAAAUAUGUUGUUUCUGAGCCAUAUUCUUCUUCAGGUUUAUUUUAUAAAGUGAGGACAUAUGAUAAUGAUACCAAAGGAAAGAUAAUGAUCAUGAAACCAACUUUUGGAUCAUUCCCUUUUUAUACAAUUGUGUAUUUAUAGGGAUACCUGCCUCUUCUCACAUAUUAAUUGUAUGUCAUUAAAAUCAGUUGGCUAUGUCAGUGUGUAUUAUUCACCUCUUUCGCUAGCUAGGUUUGAGAUGAUAUAUUAACAUUUAAAUUGUGAAAAUGAGCAAGUAAAUAGAAUAAUAUUAAUGUAUGAUAUGUAAUACUUAUUGUCUAAAUCAAGUUUCCUAUUUUUGGCUAAUUUAUUUUAGAAGAAAAGUAAAAUUCAUUAUUUGGGCA